rnacentral:lncRNA from 1 species
AAUCUCGAGAGGAUGCCACGGACCAAGAGGAGUAUGAGGGGGAAAAUAGCGGCCUGCGAAUUUUCUGGCUGUCGAACUGUCACUGAGGGUUCCCAUCGCCUCAAAGGGGGCUCGAGGGAGAAUUCCUUCAACAACAAGGAUUUAAUAACGGGGACAAUCGGUGAGCGCGUUCCGCUCGAGAAUUUCGGAGUAGUUGAACGGGGUGACACCGGUCAAGGGGGCAG